AUGGGUGAGUAACACGUGGGGAACCUGCCCCAUAGUCUAGGAUACCACUUGGAAACAGGUGCUAAUACCGGAUAAUAAAGCAGAUCGCAUGAUCAGCUUAUAAAAGGCGGCGUAAGCUGUCGCUAUGGGAUGGCCCCGCGGUGCAUUAGCUAGUUGGUAAGGUAACGGCUUACCAAGGCAAUGAUGCAUAGCCGAGUUGAGAGACUGAACGGCCACAUUGGGACUGAGACACGGCCCAAACUCCUACGGGAGGCAGCAGUAGGGAAUCUUCCACAAUGGACGCAAGUCUGAUGGAGCAACGCCGCGUGAGUGAAGAAGGUUUUCGGAUCGUAAAGCUCUGUUGUUGGUGAAGAAGGAUAGAGGUAGUAACUGGCCUUUAUUUGACGGUAAUCAACCAGAAAGUCACGGCUAACUACGUGCCAGCAGCCGCGGUAAUACGUAGGUGGCAAGCGUUGUCCGGAUUUAUUGGGCGUAAAGCGAGCGCAGGCGGAAGAAUAAGUCUGAUGUGAAAGCCCUCGGCUUAACCGAGGAAUUGCAUCGGAAACUGUUUUUCUUGAGUGCAGAAGAGGAGAGUGGAACUCCAUGUGUAGCGGUGGAAUGCGUAGAUAUAUGGAAGAACACCAGUGGCGAAGGCGGCUCUCUGGUCUGCAACUGACGCUGAGGCUCGAAAGCAUGGGUAGCGAACAGGAUUAGAUACCCUGGUAGUCCAUGCCGUAAACGAUGAGUGCUAAGUGUUGGGAGGUUUCCGCCUCUCAGUGCUGCAGCUAACGCAUUAAGCACUCCGCCUGGGGAGUACGACCGCAAGGUUGAAACUCAAAGGAAUUGACGGGGGCCCGCACAAGCGGUGGAGCAUGUGGUUUAAUUCGAAGCAACGCGAAGAACCUUACCAGGUCUUGACAUCUAGUGCCAUCCUAAGAGAUUAGGAGUUCCCUUCGGGGACGCUAAGACAGGUGGUGCAUGGCUGUCGUCAGCUCGUGUCGUGAGAUGUUGGGUUAAGUCCCGCAACGAGCGCAACCCUUAUUAUUAGUUGCCAGCAUUAAGUUGGGCACUCUAAUGAGACUGCCGGUGACAAACCGGAGGAAGGUGGGGAUGACGUCAAGUCAUCAUGCCCCUUAUGACCUGGGCUACACACGUGCUACAAUGGGCAGUACAACGAGAAGCGAGCCUGCGAAGGCAAGCGAAUCUCUGAAAGCUGUUCUCAGUUCGGACUGCAGUCUGCAACUCGACUGCACGAAGCUGGAAUCGCUAGUAAUCGCGGAUCAGAACGCCGCGGUGAAUACGUUCCCGGGCCUUGUACACACCGCCCGUCACACCAUGGAAGUCUGCAAUGCCCAAAGCCGGUGGCCUAACCUUCGGGAAGGAGCCGUCUAAGGCAGGGCAGAUGACUGGGGUGAAGUCGUACA
rnacentral:rRNA from 1 species